UAUUUUCGUUUUAUUUUAUUUAUAAAUAAAAUAACGAUAUUUUCAUUAUAUUUAAAUUUCCAUUUAUAGGUUGAUGAUAUAGUGGAGAAUGCGAUAGCUCGUCAAAUGAAACUUUUCAAACAAUAUACUAGCGCUCUUCAAACUCAAAAUCCGAAUAUGCACAUACCGGAUUUUCCAUCAUCUCCUCCUCCUCAACAAACGAUUGAACCAGAGGAGCAGACUCGUGGACGAUCAAUCAACAUUUUCUCAAGAAAUGAGAUAUCAAAGUUAGUAUUUAAAAACACUUCUUCAAAAAAGAAAAAGAAGGACAAUUAACAAAAUAGAGAUUAAGAUAGUUAACGACUUAAUUUUUCAAAAAACUUUUUAUUUUAUUUUGUCGCAACUUAUUUUAAAUAUUAUCGACUAAUUCAAUCUCAAUUAAAAUUUCAUUAUCAAUUUCAAUUUUAUUUUUAUUUUCAUUUAAUAUAAUUUCUAAUAAUUAAUUAAUUUAAUUUAAUAAAUAAAAAAUAAAAAAAUUAUUUAAAUAAAUAAUUAAUAGGUCCCGACGGCCUGGUCGUCAGAAAUUGAAAUUUAUACCAGCAGUUUACUAGCGGCCAAGCCGCUGGCAAUUUCAAUCAAUAAUCGGAUUCCAAAAUAUAUAGCCAGCGGCCUGGCCACCAGGAAAUGACCAAGUUUGCGACAUUAGUUCUGGCGAUGGCAUACCAGCGGCCUAGCCGCCAGGACACAAUAUACUGCUGGAUCAUGAUCCGAGGCUAUAAGGGGGGAUAAUAGCCUCUUUUCGAUUUAUACAGGUUGAUUGCGGAAUUACCUGUAAACACUUAAUAAACAAAUGGUUGACAAUAAUGAUAUAGAGAUAUUAUAACUUUGAUUGAUAUAAUAACGUAAUUAUUACUUUUCGAAGUUUACCACAGUAUAUGAAUACUGAGUCAACUUGCUUGAUAGUGUUUUACAAACAUCUAUAGUAUAUGGGUACUAAGUUAUAUUGUAAACACAAGUUGUAUUGUAGAGCAAAUGACCAGAUAACUGGAUAUAUUGAUAAGCAAGUAAAUGACCAGAUAACUGGAUAUAUUGAUAAGCAAGUAAAUGACCAGAUAAUUGGAUAUAUAUGAUAAGUAAAUGCUUGAACAAAUGAAUAAGGAUUUAAAGCAAUGAAUAUAACCUCAUAUAGUUGACCAGAUAACUGGAUGAGAGAUCAGCGUAAAGUAGUCAACCUCUGUAUUUGACCAGAUAACUGGAAGAGCGAUCAUUUUCAAUUAAGUGUUGUUUUAGUUGUUUUUAGAUGAAAGAUAAAAACUAGAGUUAACAAAGAACAACACAAGAGAUUUAUACUGGUUCACCCAAACAAGGGCUAGUCCAGUCCCGACCAGCUGUCGGAAUUCACUCGCUUAAAGGUUAUGGCAAAAUCUUAGAGUAUCAAGGAAACUCUUAAGAACCUCUUUAAACUUUAAGGCUACUUCGCUUAGGAACCAGUCUUUUACGGGUAGACUCACACCUUAGAGUAUCAAGGACACUCUUAAGAACCUCUAACUUUUACGGGUAAGUUAGUACCUUAGAGUAUCAAGGAACUCUUAAAAUCUAAAAAUCUUUCAAGGUAGAUUCGACCUGAGAGUUUUUCCGGAAACUCUAUAAAACCAAACUAGAGCUUUAUGGUUGAGCUCGAAAACCUUCUCUCACACUUUGGUACUAUUGAGACAACCCUCUCAACCAAAGUAGACACACACAAGAGGUGAUUAGAGGAGUGGAAUAUUAAAGCAAACAACACUUCUUACUUGUAAAGAUGAACAAGAAAAUUAGAAGAAGAAGUUGGAAAGCUUUUGAAGCUUUGGAAAGCUAGGACACUUGAGCACUUGAAAGCUUGGAAGCUUGGAGGCAAAAACGUGUGGGCAAGUGUGGAGUGAAAUCUCUUGAGUUUGCUUGUA
rnacentral:lncRNA from 1 species